rnacentral:rRNA from 1 species
UACGUAGGAUCCAAGCGUUGUCCGGAUUUACUGGGCGUAAAGGGUGCGUAGGCGGUCCUGUAAGUAUGGUGUGAAAUCUCCCGGCUUAACUGGGAGGGUGCGCUAUAGACUGCGGGACUAGAGGGUCGGAGAGGAAAGUGGAAUUCCUGGUGUAGCGGUGAAAUGCGUAGAUAUCAGGAGGAACACCGGUGGUGUAAACGGCUUUCUGGACGAUUUCUGACGCUGAGGCACGAAAGCGUGGGUAGCAAACAGG